rnacentral:rRNA from 1 species
GACGAACGCUGGCGGCGUGCUUAACACAUGCAAGUCGAACGAGAAGAGAUGAGAAACUUGCUUCUUAUUGAUUCGAGUGGCAAACGGGUGAGUAACGCGUAAGCAACCUGCCCUUCAGAUGGGGACAACAGCUGGAAACGGCUGCUAAUACCGAAUACGUUCUUUUUGUCGCAUGGCAGAGGGAAGAAAGGGAGGCUCUUCGGAGCUUUCGCUGAAGGAGGGGCUUGCGUCUGAUUAGCUAGUUGGAGGGGUAACGGCCCACCAAGGCGACGAUCAGUAGCCGGUCUGAGAGGAUGAACGGCCACGUUGGGACUGAGACACGGCCCAGACUCCUACGGGAGGCAGCAGUGGGGAAUAGUUGGGCAAGUGGGCGCAAGCCUGACCCAGCAACGCCGCGUGAAGGAAGAA